rnacentral:misc_RNA from 1 species
UACGUAGGGUGCGAGCGUUAAUCGGAAUUACUGGGCGUAAAGCGUGCGCAGGCGGUCCGCUAAGACCGAUGUGAAAUCCCCGGGCUUAACCUGGGAACUGCAUUGGUGACUGGCGGGCUGGAGUAUGGCAGAGGGGGGUAGAAUUCCACGUGUAGCAGUGAAAUGCGUAGAGAUGUGGAGGAAUACCGAUGGCGAAGGCAGCCCCCUGGGAUAACACUGACGCUCAUGCACGAAAGCGUGGGGAGCAAACAGG